rnacentral:rRNA from 1 species
AAUAGCCCAGAGAAAUUUGGAUUAAUGCCCCAUAGUAUUAUUGAAUGGCAUCAUUUGAUAAUUAAAGUUCCAACGGUAUAAGAUGAGCAUGCGUCCCAUUAGUUAGUUGGUAAGGUAACGGCUUACCAAGACAAUGAUGGGUAGGGGUCCUGAGAGGGAGAUCCCCCACACUGGUACUGAGACACGGACCAGACUCCUACGGGAGGCAGCAGUGAGGAAUAUUGGUCAAUGGGCGCAAGCCUGAACCAGCCAUGCCGCGUGCAGGAAGACGGUCCUAUGGAUUGUAAACUGCUUUUAUACAGGAAGAAACCCUCCCACGUGUGGGAGCUUGACGGUACUGUAGGAAUAAGGAUCGGCUAACUCCGUG